GACGAACGCUGGCGGCGUGCUUAACACAUGCAAGUCGAACGGAAAGGCCCUGCACUUGUGGGGUGCUCGAGUGGCGAACGGGUGAGUAACACGUGAGUAACCUGCCCUUGACUUUGGGAUAACUUCAGGAAACUGGGGCUAAUACCGGAUAGGAGCUCCUGCUGCAUGGUGGGGGUUGGAAAGAUUCGGCGGUUGGGGAUGGACUCGCGGCUUAUCAGCUUGUUGGUGAGGUAGUGGCUUACCAAGGCGUUGACGGGUAGCCGGCCUGAGAGGGUGACCGGCCACAUUGGGACUGAGGUACGGCCCAGACUCCUACGGGAGGCAGCAGUGGGGAAUAUUGCACAAUGGGCGGAAGCCUGAUGCAGCAACGCCGCGUGCGGGAUGACGGCCUUCGGGUUGUAAACCGCUUUCGCCUGUGACGAAGCGUGAGUGACGGUAAUGGGUAAAGAAGCACCGGCUAACUACGUG
rnacentral:rRNA from 1 species